rnacentral:lncRNA from 1 species
CAGAUGCUUCCUAUCCCUGCUGGCUGGUGACAUCACCGCUGUGACGUCACACUCUGGCUUCCUGGGCUUUGGGAGUGCUGGUUCUGGUGAUAACCACUUCCUGCUCCCGGCCAGGGUGACUCAGGACUUCCUUCUGCUCCCGGAGUCAUCACUGAGCCUGGCUCUCCUGUAUCCUCAUCUAGGGCCAGGGCCAGUCUGUGGCAUCUGUUGCUGUCUCCUAGGGAGACCUUCUUUCUGCAGAGUGGGGCCUCCACAGUCUGCACAGCUCGGCUCCCCAUUCUCUCGUGAAGGUAGGCCAGGAACUGGGUUUCCUAAUGAGUGACCAGGAAAACGGAACUUUCAAGGGGCGUGUCUGUUUAAUGAGGAAUCAGCCUGAAUGGAAGCCAACCCAGUGCCUUUCCAGG